UAGGCAUAUAAGAAGAAGAUUUGAAAAAUGGAAAAUAAAAUAGGAUGCAAGAAAAACAAUAGCUACACAAGAAAGACAUGAUCCAAACCAGAGGAAAGGAAAACAUGAGCUGAACAACUGAGUUUGGGGAGUCAGAAGAAGCUCAUUUGUUUGCUUGGAUGGCUGAAACAUGGACCAAAAAGGUUACCCACAGUAAACGAACUUGAAAUGCCAGAACUACCCUGGUUACUCUAGAGGAAGGGAUUGACAAGCUUAUGGAGAAAGAAGAGUUGGCGUGAAUUUAUCAUUUCAGAUCUGCGCAUCCACCCUGGAACACUUUUUUCCAUAUCUGUGAGAAAUAAAUGUGUGAGGAGAGCCCUACCAACCUUGAAGAGUUCUGGGGUCACUCUCUCACUAGGCAAGAACUUAUAGUGGGAGCUGCUGUCACUGAAUUGGGAAACCUACAUUUGUAUCCCAUAUAAUAUAUUUGACAUUGAAUUUUGUGUUUUCUGGUGUUAUUGCUACAAUUGCCUUUCUUUUUGUCAGACUCAACUGAUACAUUUUAUCCAUCUCUUUAUCUUUUGGGGGUCCUAUUUUCAGGUGUGUCUCUUACAUGCUAUAAUGUUGGGCAUGCACAGCCACAUUCCAUUAUCGAAUGGGAGUGGUGUUAUAUUCAAGAUUGGGCUUCAUCAGGACCUGAAGGCAUGUGCAUAAAUGACAUGAAAAAGUGGCACGAACGUCGUCUUCACUCUCGCUACCCACCUUCUUUCUCCCAGCCAGUGUCUAUGGCCUCAUG
rnacentral:lncRNA from 1 species